rnacentral:rRNA from 1 species
GCAGUAUAAGCGAAACUGCGAAUGGCUCAUUAUAUAAGUUAUCGUUUAUUUGAUAGUACCUUACUACUUGGAUAACCGUGGUAAUUCUAGAGCUAAUACAUGCUAAAAAUCCCGACUUCGGAAGGGAUGUAUUUAUUAGAUUAAAAACCAAUGCCCUCUGGGCUCCUUGGUGAUUCAUGAUAACUCUUCGAAUCGCACGGCCUUGCGCCGGCGAUGGUUCAUUCAAAUUUCUUCCCUAUCAACUUUCGAUGUUUGGGUAUUGGCCAAACAUGGUUGCAACGGGUAACGGAGGGUUAGGGCUCGACCCCGGAGAAGGAGCCUGAGAAACGGCUACUACAUCCAAGGAAGGCAGCAGGCGCGCAAAUUACCCAAUCCCGAUUCGGGGAGGUAGUGACAAUAAAUACUGAUACAGGGCUCUUUUGGGUCUUGUAAUUGGAAUGAGUACAAUUUAAAUCUCUUAACGAGGAACAAUUGGAGGGCAAGUCUGGUGCCAGCAGCCGCGGUAAUUCCAGCUCCAAUAGCGUAUAUUAAAGUUGUUGUGGUUAAAAAGCUCGUAGUUGAACCUUGGGCCUGGCUGGCCGGUCCGCCUCACCGCGUGCACUGGUCCGGCCGGGCCUUUCCCUCUGUGGAACCCCAUGCCCUUCACUGGGCGUGGCGGGGAAACAGGACGUUUACUUUGAAAAAAUUAGAGUGCUCCAGGCAGGCCUAUGCUCGAAUACAUUAGCAUGGAAUAAUGAAAUAGGACGCGUGGUUCUAUUUUGUUGGUUUCUAGGACCGCCGUAAUGAUUAAUAGGGACAGUCGGGGGCAUCAGUAUUCAAUUGUCAGAGGUGAAAUUCUUGGAUUUAUUGAAGACUAACUACUGCGAAAGCAUUUGCCAAGGAUGUUUUCAUUAAUCAGGAACGAAAGUUAGGGGAUCGAAGACGAUCAGAUACCGUCGUAGUCUUAACCAUAAACUAUGCCGACUAGGGAUCGGACGAUGUUAUUUUUUGACGCGUU